GAACGCUGGCGGCGUGCUUAACACAUGCAAGUCGAACGAUGAAGACCGUGCUUGCACGGUUGGAUUAGUGGCGAACGGGUGAGUAUCACGUGAGUAACCUUCCCUUAACUCUGGGAUAAGCCCGGGAAACUGGGUCUAAUACCGGAUACGACCAGUCCUCGCAUGGGGUGCUGGUGGAAAGAUUUAUCGGUUUUGGAUGGACUCGCGGCCUAUCAGCUUGUUGGUGAGGUAAAGGCUCACCAAGGCGAUGACGGGUAGCCGGCCUGAGAGGGUGACCGGCCACACUGGGACUGAGACACGGCCCAGACUCCUACGGGAGGCAGCAGUGGGGAAUAUUGCACAAUGGGCGAAAGCCUGAUGCAGCGACGCCGCGUGCGGGAUGACGGCCUUCGGGUUGUAAACCGCUUUCAGCAGGGAAGAAGCGCAAGUGACGGUACCUGCAGAAGAAGCGCCGGCUAACUACGUGCCAGCAGCCGCGGUAAUACGUAGGGCGCGAGCGUUAUCCGGAAUUAUUGGGCGUAAAGAGCUCGUAGGCGGUUUGUCACGUUUGCCUGGAAAGNCCCGGGGCUCAACCCCGGGUGUGCAGUGGGUACGGGCAGACUAGAGUGCAGUAGGGAGANUGGAAUUCCCUGGUGUAGCGGUGAAAUGCGCAGAUAUCAGGAGGAACACCCGAUGGCGAAGGCAGGUCUCUGGGCUGUUACUGACGCUGAGGAGCGAAAGCAUGGGGAGCGAACAGGAUUAGAUACCCUGGUAGUCCAUGCCGUAAACGUUGGGCACUAGGUGUGGGGAACAUUCCACGUUUUCCGCGCCGUAGCUAACGCAUUAAGUGCCCCGCCUGGGGAGUACGGCCGCAAGGCUAAAACUCAAAGGAAUUGACGGGGGCCCGCACAAGCGGCGGAGCAUGCGGAUUAAUUCGAUGCAACGCGAAGAACCUUACCAAGGCUUGACAUGGACCGGACCGCUGCAGAGAUGCAGUUUCCCUUCGGGGUCGGUUCACAGGUGGUGCAUGGUUGUCGUCAGCUCGUGUCGUGAGAUGUUGGGUUAAGUCCCGCAACGAGCGCAACCCCUAUCUUAUGUUGCCAGCACGUCAUGGUGGGGACUCAUGGGAGACUGCCGGGGUCAACUCGGAGGAAGGUGGGGACGACGUCAAAUCAUCAUGCCCCUUAUGUCUUGGGCUUCACGCAUGCUACAAUGGCCGGUACAAUGGGUUGCGAUACUGUGAGGUGGAGCUAAUCCCUAAAAGCCGGUCUCAGUUCGGAUCGAAGUCUGCAACUCGACUUCGUGAAGUUGGAGUCGCUAGUAAUCGCAGAUCAGCAACGCUGCGGUGAAUACGUUCCCGGGCCUUGUACACACCGCCCGUCAAGUCACGAAAGUGGGUAACACCCGAAGCCGGUGGCCUAACCCUUGUGGGGGGAGCCGUCGAAGGUGGGACUCGCGAUUGGGACUAAGUCGUAACAAGGUAGCCGUACCGGAA
rnacentral:rRNA from 1 species